rnacentral:tRNA from 1 species
GCGCCUGUAGCUCAAUUGGACAGAGCAUCGGUCUACGGAACCGAAGGUUACACGUUCGAAUCGUGUCAGGCGUA